UAGCAAACAACAACAAAAACCCUUCUUUAUGCACCCCUAUUUUCGGCAGCCAUAAUACACCAAAGAAACACUUUCCAUUUUCCACAAACACUCCAUUUUACACUAGAUUUAUUCAUUUCAAGAUCAUCCACACAUGAGUUAAACUUGGAGCAUUAUUUGGAGCACUUUUGGAGCUUAAUUUCUUCUUAUUUUCUUGUCUAACUAGUGCAAUCUUGUUAUUGACACGUACGGACGCUCACUUCGAUAUCAUAGUACGCGGAACGCAAACCUGUGAGUUCAUGUCCCCCUUUUCUCUUAACUGUUUUUGAAUUUAUAACUCUCGGGGGUGAAAUACAUGUUACAUAUGUUUCAAUGGAAACAAGUCUUGAGUCGGUGAUACAUGAUUGGAUGCAAUGAUUACCUUUCUUACGUCACACGCAACACGCUUCCGCAACUAGCAGGGUGUGACAAAUCAGACGGUUACAACGGUUCACAUGGUCAAAUGGUUACAAUGGUUCAAAAUGUAAUAUAAUGUGUCCAUAUGCUGGAUGAGCAUAUGCAACAGAAAUGCAAUGUAAAACAAUGUACUAGGUAUGCACACAAUGGACAUACAUAACAUGAAAUGUAAUGUAAAACAAUGUACUAAGUAUGCACACAAUGGACAUACAUAGCAUGAAAUGUAACGUAAAACAAUGUACUAAGUAUGCUUUCAGUCAACAUACAUGUGACAACUCGAGUUUUCGACUUUCACUUUUGCAUUAAAUGCACGUUGACUUUGACUGUUUAAGUUGUUUGACUUGUUUGACUUGUAAUGUACACUUUGUGCUAUGAUAAACAUAUUGUAUUGC
rnacentral:lncRNA from 1 species